CCUAUCAGUAAUCACUUUAAAUGUAAAUGGAUUAAAUGCUCCAAUCAAAAAACAUAGGGUACUCGGAAGCUAAGCAGGGUCGGGCCUGGUUAGUUCUUGGAUGAGAGACCACCUAGGAAGACCAGGUGCUGUAGGC
ensembl:rRNA 5S_rRNA 5S ribosomal RNA